rnacentral:rRNA from 1 species
UACGUAGGGUGCAAGCGUUAAUCGGAAUUACUGGGCGUAAAGCGUGCGCAGGCGGUUUUGUAAGUCUGUCGUGAAAUCCCCGGGCUCGACCUGGGAAUUGCGAUGGAGACUGCAAGGCUAGAAUCUGGCAGAGGGGGGUAGAAUUCCACGUGUAGCAGUGAAAUGCGUAGAGAUGUGGAGGAACACCGAUGGCGAAGGCAGCCCCCUGGGUCAAGAUUGACGCUCAUGCACGAAAGCGUGGGGAGCAAACAGG